rnacentral:rRNA from 1 species
GAUGAACGCUAGCUACAGGCUUAACACAUGCAAGUCGAGGGGAAACGACAUCGAAAGCUUGCUUUUGAUGGGCGUCGACCGGCGCACGGGUGAGUAACGCGUAUCCAACCUGCCCACCACUUGGGGAUAACCUUGCGAAAGUAAGACUAAUACCCAAUGAUAUCUCUAGAAGACAUCUGAAAGAGAUUAAAGAUUUAUCGGUGAUGGAUGGGGAUGCGCUCUGAUUAGCUUGUUGGCGGGGUAACGGCCCACCAAGGCGACGAUCAGUAGGGGUUCUGAGAGGACAGUCCCCCACAUGAGAACUGAGACACGGGCCAAACUACUAAGGGAGGCAGCAGUGAGGAAUGUUGGUCAAUGGGCGAGAGCCUGAACCAGCCAAGUAGCGUGCAGGAUGACGGCCCUAUGGGUUGUAAACUGCUUUUAUAAGGGAAUAAAGUGAGCCUCGUGAGGCUUUUUGCAUGUACCUUAUGAAUAAGGACCGGCUAAUUCCGUGCCAGCCGCCGCCGUAA